UCGAGAUUUUCGUACGCCAUCUUUGAACGUGCAGGGUGAAGUUACGUGUGAAAAUUAAAAGCCGGCUUGUUAGAUCUUCAGCAUACAAUAAUGGCAGGAGGAAUGGCAGAUGAGUCUCAGUUUGCCCACUAUACGGGUUUAAAGAAGUAUUUUAAUUCAGACACUGUGCUGGGAAAAAGGAAUUGCGUCAUAGCAACAUUUGCUGGCUCCUUUCUUAUAUACUGGGUCAUCAAGAGCAGGUUGAACAAAAGAAAAGCAAUUACUGCAGCAGCUGUAACACCAAAGACGGAAUAAUGGACACCAUCUUAUCCUUCACCAAGUUGCUGUGUAUUUGUAUCAAUGGUGCUGGUAUCAUGUGUUUAUACUUCAUGGCUCCAACAGCUCUUUAAGUUUUUGCCGUAAUAUCUUAUUGAAUAAUUACUGUGGUGUUCAUUCUGAUACUAGUCACUGUAAAUACUGAUUAGUGUUUUUUUGUGUUUUGAUCAGAAUAAAGUUUAAAAUUAUGUAAA